GACGAACGCUGGCGGCGUGCUUAACACAUGCAAGUCGAGCGGUAAGGCCCUUUCGGGGGUACACGAGCGGCGAACGGUGAGUAACACGUGGGUGACCUGCCUCAGCUCUGGGAUAAGCCUGGGAAACCGGGUCUAUACUGGAUAUGACUCCAUGACGCAUGUUGUGGGGUGGAAAGCCUUGUGCGGCUGAGGAUGGGCCCG
rnacentral:rRNA from 1 species